GUUGGUCUUUUCUGUCUCCACAUAAACCUCCCUCUGCACAUCGCGUCGCGGAGGAGGAGCGUCAACGGGAGCGGUCAGCGAGGAGGCGGACAUGGCGACACAAAGCCCAGCAGAUCUCUGCAAGACCGGAGCGACGUGAUGUCACUCUACACACAGAAGAAUGACUUGAAGUAAAAAAAAAAAAAAAAAAAAAAUCCCGUUUGGUUCCACCUGGAGUCGUGGACGGGGCACGGCCGUUCCUUGGAGAGGCUGCCCGCUCCGUGCGCAGAGAUGUGACUUUUCUGCGGGAGAGGCUGCAAAGUUUCUAGACUCAGCUCAGGAAUGGGGCGACGUUUUCAGAGGAAUUAAGGGUCAUUUAAUGGAUUUACGCACCAACACGUUUAACUGUACCACACAAUGAGAGGAAGUGACAGCUGACCCUGACAGCCAACAUCCAGCUCAUGUAGACUAUUAUUAGAAAUGCGACAUAUGAGUCACAAGGAUUUUCUAGUGGGGAGGUCAGUCAGUACAGGUCAGCUGUUGAUCCAGUCUAAAACUGCUGUGUCUGCGGCUGCGCCUUGAUGAAAGACCCACAGAUGUCCCCAAUGUCAACUCGACCCCUUCCUCCUCUUUAAGAUGUUUCGGUGCCAAGAUGCUGAGAUGUGCUGGAGUGACCGGGACUUUCACACGAGUGAAUGCUGAGCAUCAGAUAAACACAGCAACCAGGAGACGAGCUGCAGUAUCGCACCAGAAAACACUGAAACUUUUUACAAGAUUUGUUUAUAUUGCAUCAGACCUCAUCGAGGUCAUAGUUUGUCUUCCAGUUGUUAUCUUUAUGGUGUAAACUGUUGAUGGUUCAGAUCUGUUUCAGACAAGCCACGAAUAAAGCUAAAGAAAUGUUAAACAAAAGGUCA